CUUCCUAAUUCAAUAAUUCUCUCCAUUAAUGAGUAGAAACUAGACCCAUAGGCUACAAGUGAAGAGUUUCAGCUUUAUCAUAACACUAUUGAUUCUCCUUCUUUCAUGUCAGUUACUUUUCCACAUAAAAUUCCAAGAGGUUUGUGGCUCAGAACCUGUUCAGCUCCAUCUUUCCAAAUAAUUUGAAGAAGGAAACAGAAGGAGAUAUUAAUCUUCCAUUCCACCAAUAUAACCAAGACCCUCUAAGGAGAGGAGACGUACCCAUUCAUUGUCUCAUUUAACCAGCUAUUUUCCACAACAAAUUUGUGCUUAGCAAGGAACCAAGGGGAUUAAUUUGUACUACUUGAGCCCUGUUCUUCAUCUUUCCUGAAGAAGAAACCUGGGAGUAGCUUAUAUGGAGCUUCUAGGGCCAAUUUUCGAAGUGGUAAAGUGCUUUGGGGGUCCAGCCUAUAGAUCCAUUAGUCAUCAUCGGAAACUUAAGGAAAAUGUGAAUGAUCUUAAAAGAAAAGUGAAUGAUCUAAAUAUUCGAAAGCAAGACCUUGAAUUCAGAAAGGAAGCAGAUAUUCGUUGCAGAAGAGUGGUGAAGAAAGAAGUGGAGAAAUGGUUUGAAGAUUUAGAACGGAUAAAUAUUGAACUUCAAAUGAUUGAAGAGAAAUUGCGUGUUGUUUCAUACUUCUCACGUGCACGCCUAGGGAAAUUUGUUUGCCAGAAGAUUGAAGAAGCAAAGGAAAUUUAUCAACGAGGUAAUUUCCCUGAGGGUGUAACAAUUGAUGGGCCUCCAGCUACAGGGGUGACAUUUCUCACAACAAAACUAGAAGGUGAAAUCGAUGUAAAGGAACAAAUUUGGGAAAAUUUAAUGGGUGACGAGGUUGGCAUGAUUGGAGUAUGUGGUAUGGGUGGAAUGGGAAAAACUACCAUCAUGAAGCAUAUCAAUAAUCAAUUGUUGAAGGAAAAUCAGUUUGAUGCAGUGAUUUGGGUCACCGUAUCUAGAGAAUUCAAUGCUGUCAAAUUACAAGGAGAUAUUGCAUGUGCUUUAGAAUGCUGUCUUCCAGAAAAUAAGUUGCAAUGGGCAACUGUAUUAAUGGAAGUCUUGGAAAGAAAGAGAUAUGUGUUGAUCUUAGAUGAUGUUUGGGAACGGUUUUCUCUAUUGGAUGUGGGAAUCCCGGAACCAACAUUACAUAAUGGGAGCAAAGUGAUAAUCACUAGUAGAUCAAUUGAGGUUUGUAAUUCUAUGGGUUGUAAGGUGUUUAAAGUGCAGCCUCUUUCGCAGAAGGUGUCAUUGAACUUAUUUUUGAAUCUGGUGGGGGAUAGGGUUCUACAACAUCCAACUGUAAAGGAAAUUGCAAACCUUAUUGUUGACGAAUGUGGUGGUUUACCGCUUGCCAUUGUGACUAUAGCUAGUAGCAUGAGAGGAGUGGACGAUACUUGCGAGUGGAGGAAUGCACUAAAUGAAUUACGUGAAAGGGUUAAAAGUGUGAAAGGGUUAGAUAUUGAAAUAUUUGAGCGUAUGAAAUUCAGUUAUGAUCGUUUGAAAGAUUCAAAAAUUCAAAAUUGUUUCUUAUAUUGUUCCUUGUAUCCUGAAGAUUAUCACAUUGUGGAAGAAGAGUUGAUUGAAAAAUGGAUAGAUGAGGAUCUCAUUGAUGAAUUAGAAACUAGACAGGCAAUGCAAGACAGAGGUCGCGCUAUUUUAAAUAAGCUUGUAAAUAAUUGCUUGUUAGAGAGGGUGAUGACUUACAAUGUUAAGGAAGAAGUGAAGGUGCAUGAUGUUCUAAGAGACAUGGCAUUGUCUAUUAUAAGAGGGUGUCAUCACUUUAUGGUUCAAGCUGGUAUGCAAUUAGUGGAGUUACCAAGUGAGCAUAAAUGGAAAGAGAAUCUUGAGAAGGUUUCCUUGAUUCACAAUUACAUAUCACAAGUUCCUCAGAUAUCACCGAAAUGCCUUAAUUUGUCAACCUUGUUAUUGCAAGAAAAUCAUAGUCUCAAAAGAAUUCCAGAAUCUUUCUUUGACCACAUGCAUGGGCUAAAAGUUCUAGAUCUUUCGGAUACUGGCAUUUAUGAUCUGCCCAAUUCCAUUUCUAACUUGGAAAAUCUAACUGCACUUGUCCUUCGAAGGUGUAGCAGUUUAAGAUACGUGCCUUCAUUAGCCAAGCUUACAGCCUUGAGAAAGUUGGAUCUUUUUGAUACAAUUAUUGAGGAGGUCCCUCGUGGUAUAGAAAUGUUAGAAAGCCUCACAUAUCUUGAUUUAUAUUCAAGGAAUCUAAAGGAACUACCAACGGAAAUUCUAUUAAGGCUUUCUAAUCUCCAAUACUUGAAAACUUGGAUGAAUAGAAGAGGAGAGGAAGUAGCCAAACUAAGGAAGCUGGAGAUUCUUCUAGGAUUCUUUUGUGAAAUACAAGACUUUGAGAGAUAUGCCAAGUCUUUAUUGGGUCAAGGGCCCUCCAAAUACUGGCUUGGAGUUGGAUCACCUACUUUGGGCAACAUCAGGAGCCAUCCUUGGUGUUCUCAUCUUGAGGAUGUCGAAGUUGACAAAAAGGUAUGUUUUAUUAAUUGCGAGAUAGGGAAAGAAGAUCUUGUGGUGCUCCCAAAUUGCGUUAGGACUCUGACUGUUGAGGCAUGUCAUGAUCUCAAAAGCUUGAGCAAUAUUUCUUUGUGCCGUAAAGCAAAUGAGUUGAAGACAUGUACUAUUAGUUGGUGUAAAGGAAUAAAGUGCAUGGUUGAUUUGUCGUUAUCAUCUUGCAAUUCAUUGCAGAACAUUGAGGUUCUACGUCUUCGAUGUUUGUCCAACUUGCAAGAACUUGUGAAAGGAAGAGUAGCAGCUGUCUCUACAUCUCACACUCCAGCACCGCCUGCCAUCUUCUCUUCUCUUAGGAAAUUUCAUUUGUUUCGUUGUUCAAGUAUAAAGAAUUUGUUUUCAGUUCAGCUGUCGCGGGGCUUGCAAAACUUAGAGUACAUUGAAGUUAAUCGCUGUGAGAAGAUGGAGAAAAUAAUCGCAUCAGAAGCAGAGGAAGAAAAUCACAAAGAAGAAGAAAGGGGUCCUAAAGUAACAACAUAUGUUUUUCCCAAAUUACAGACCUUGCACCUGAUCAAAUUACCGGAACUGAAAAGCAUUUGUACUAGUGGAGUUAUGGUUCCUGCAAACUCUCUCCAAUUUCUUUCAAUAAUAAAUUGUCUAAAGCUCAAGAAGAUCCCUUUCUCCAUACCCCGGCUUGAAACUGGGCAACCAACUCCUCCUCCUCUCGAGCAUGGCUAUGUUCAUCCAAGAAAAUGGUGGGAAUUAGUGGAAUUUGAUGAUCCUGAUGCUAAGGAUGUCCUUUCACAAGUUGUUUUAGAAUUUUCUUCAGAAGAGGAUGAAGAGUAAGAGGCUGAUGAUGGCAAUGAUAGGCUAAAGAUGAGCCUAAGAAGAGGAUGGCUGUUAUCUCAAAGCAGAAUUGACCUUGCCAUUGUUGCUGGGAUGGUGAUAAUUGACUGUUACCUUUACAAACUCUGGAGAAACCUACAAGAGAAAGAAACCAUGGGAGAAGCUGAGCAGAACGUUGUAGGCAAUAAGGAAAACACAGAGGUUCGACUUGUUUGACCUAUCCUCUAUAGCUAAAGUCACCAAUAUACAAGAAGCUUGGAUAAGGUGGAUUCGGACGUAUGUACAAGGAAAACCCUUUUGCAAUCUUUACUUUUAACCUUUCAAGGUACAUUAUCAGAUGGAUGACAAAUUGCUGUGUAUAGGCUUUGAAGGAGUUCUUGACAAGGAUUGUAUGUGCUAUGAAAUGAUGUGAAAUUGAUUGCCAAGCUUCAGCAGCGUAAUCCUGUAAAGCCUCUUGGUCGUUGCAUAACAAGGAGCGGAGAAAAUGCUAAUUUACAAGAUUUGUUCAUAUUUGAUCUGGAAUCUGGUCACUUGAAUUGUAUGUCUUCUGUAGUUCUAAUGUUCGAAGGCUUUCAUCAGAAGCACUAUCCAAAUUCACUUGAAUUGUAAGUCAUCUGGAUAUGUUCUUGACAGAGGCUUUCAUGAGAAGAAAAUCUUCUUUUUGAGAUUCAAAUUCAGUUUCUGCAUAUGAUUCAACUAA